rnacentral:rRNA from 1 species
AUGGGUCCUGCCGUUCUCUUCUUCCUCGUGCUUGCGGCUGCAGCACCCUUGCAUUUGGCGGCACAGACCUUGAAUUAUUCCAUGGCGAAACCCUCGACGGUUUGGAUCAACAACGAAUUUCAACGCCACGGCUUCAGCAGCCGCCUCCGCACCAUCGUCACCCGUUCUCUAGGACCAGAAACUCAAGCUCGCCCUGACUCUGAACUUGAUGUUGCCGCAGGGUUCACAUGUGCCUCCCGUCAGUCAGCAUGCAACGAUUUCCUCUUUGCGGUGUUCAUUUACAUGAAUGUUGGGUUCAACCUUAAUAAUGCCACAACUCCACAGCCACAGGUAAUCUGGUCUGCCAACCAGGCUCGCCCUGUCACAGAGAAUGCAACCCUUGAGUUUACCUCGGAUGGGAACUUGGUCCUCUGUGAUGAUGAUGGUAGCCAUGUCUGGUCCACCAGCAGCUCAGGCCGGUCUGUGGCUGGAAUGUUGAUCACCGAUAUAGGCAAUUUGGUGUUGUUCGAUCAGAGAAAUGCAACAGUGUGGCAGUCAUUUGAUCAUCCUACCGACACAUUGGUCCCUGGGCAGUCACUUGUGGAAGGUACGAGGCUCACAGCAAGUACUUCUGCAAUAAAUAUGAUGAAUCCAAAUCAGUUUUAUAUCACUGUACUCCCAGAUGGAUUACAUGCUUAUGCUGAAUCCACACCACCACAACUAUACUACCGUUUACCCUGGGCGUCCAUCGACAAGAAAGGAAAUGAUCCAAUAACUGUUACAUUCAUGAAUGAAAGCCUCACCGUCUCUGUGCGGUCAGAUAUAUAUCAUCAGUUCUCACUGCCACCAGCAAAAUCUACCCGGUUCAUGAGAUUAGAUUCAGAUGGACACUUGAGGGUGUAUGAACAGUCUGGUAUAUCAUGGCCCGUGGAGUAUGAUGUAAUGCAAAUAGAUUAUUGUGCUUACCCAACAGUCUGCGGGCGGUACGGCAUAUGCAUGGGCGUACAGUGCACUUAUCCACUUGAGAACAAUUCAAAUUCACGGCACUUCAAGCCAGUGGAGGAACGGAAGCCAAAUCUUGGUUCCACCCCAAUAACUCCAAUCUCUUGUCAAGAAAUUCAACACCAUCAACUCUUCACACUUACUAAUAUUUCUUACUUUGUCAAAAAACCGACAGUUGUGAAUGCGACAAGCAUCGAUGACUGUAAGCAAGCAUGCCUGAAGAAUUGCUCCUGCAAGGCUGUUAUAUUUAGGCACCGGAACAAUUCCCUUGGAAAAUGCGAUUGGUUGACGGAGGUCUUCUCUUUGCAAUCAAUACAGCCUGAAGCAUUUGGUUACAGCUCGUCUGCUUACCUCAAGGUGCAGCUUAGCCCCACCAUUUCUGCAUCUACUUCAAACAAAAAAAGGGUGUUGUUAGUUGCUACAUUUGUAGCUAUUGCUACUCUUGUAUUGUUUAUCAUUGCGGUCACUCUUUAUCGACAAAGGAGGAGGAAGUAUGAAGACAAAAAUGAGGAAUUUUAUUUCGAUCAAUUUCCUGGAAUGCCAACAAGGUUUUCUCUUGAGAAGUUGACUGAAUGCACUCGAGGAUUCGAUAAGAAACUCGGAGAAGGCGGGUUUGGGUCAGUUUUUGAAGGGAAAUUAGGUGAAGAAAGAAUUGCAGUAAAACGUUUAGAAGGUGCUAGACAGGGAAAGAAAGAGUUCUUGGCAGAGGUCGAGACUAUUGGCAGCAUUGAACACAUCAAUCUUGUCAGCCUGAUUGGGUUUUGUGCACAGAAGUCUGAGAGGCUUCUGGUAUAUGAAUAUAUGUCCAGAGGGUCGCUUGAUAGGUGGAUCUAUUACCAUCAUAACAACAACCCUCUUGAUUGGUGCACUCGUUGUAGGAUUAUAUUGGAUAUUGCCAAGGGCCUAUGUUAUCUUCAUGAGGAGUGCAGGCGAAAAAUUGUUCAUCUGGACAUCAAACCACAAAAUAUUCUCUUAGAUGACAAUUUCAAUGCCAAAGUGGCUGAUUUUGGACUAUGUAAGUUAAUAAACAGGGAUCAAAGCAAGGUAGUAACCGUGAUGAGAGGAACACCUGGAUAUCUUGCACCUGAAUGGCUGACAUCGCGGAUCACUGAAAAAGUGGAUGUCUACAGCUUUGGAGUUGUUGUCAUGGAAAUAGAAGAAGUGAUUCAAAUGAUGAAGCUCGCAGUAUGGUGCCUGCAAAACGAAAGCACUCGAAGGCCUUCAAUGUCAACUGUGAUCAAGAACCAAACCUGGGGUAGCAGACGCUCCCUGGAGAAGAAGCAGGGUCGGGCGACCGGUGCUGCAGGCUCCUCGCCGCCGCAGGCGCGCGGGAGGAACCCCUCGGUCGCGCGAGCACAUCAUCGCUUUCCUGUCUUAAUCAUAAGAGAGGCAAGUGGUGAGCGGUACACCACAGAGAGACUUGUUGACUUGCAUACUCGGCAACUACCAAUGGAAGUCUUGGGUCAGCAGAGCAAAUCAGUGACAUCUCCAGAAUCACAAAACAUUGCUCCCAACGAGUCCGGGCACGCAACCCGGGGAUCACCGGCCAUCCUUUUUUCCGGUGAUCGGCAUGAUCUUCUCCGUCGGCAGCUCAGGACCAUAAGACUCUGGUUCCUCCCAAGCGGCAUGGGUCCUGCCAAUCUCUUCAUCCUUGUACUUACAACUACGGCGCCAUUACUCUCCACCUCGCAGCCCUUUAACUAUUCCAUGGCCAGACCUUCGAUGGUGUGGAUCAACAACGCCUCCUCCUACUAUGAUAUACCCACCGUGGACCCAGCUGUCACCAGUUUUGUACCACAAGGAGCUAAUUCUAGCUCCGGGUUCGCCUUUGCCGCGGGGUUCGUUUGUGCCUCCACCCUCGUGUGCGACGUGUCCCUCUUUGCUGUUUCUGUUGUCAGCUAUGCAAGGAACCGGCUUUUUCUGGAGCAGGUUGUCUGGUCUGCCAACCGGGAUCACCCUGUUAGGGAGAAUGCCACCCUCGAGUUUACCUCGCACGGAAAUUUAGUCCUCCGUGAUGCUGAUGGUAGCCACGUCUGGUCGAGCAGCACCUCAGGUCAGUCUGUAGCAGGCAUGGUGAUCAGCGGGACUGGAAAUCUGAUGUUGUUUGACAAGAAAAAUGCGACAGUGUGGCAGUCAUUUGAUCAUCCUACCGAUACAUUGAUCCGUGGGCAGUCACUUCUAGAAGGUAUGAAGCUCACAGCAAGUGCCUCUGCAACAAAUACGACUAAGAAUCAGUUCUAUAUCACAGUACUCCCACACGGAUUAUAUGCUUAUGUUGAAUCCACACCACCACAACUCUACUUUUCAUUCUAUUACUCGGUGGCCGAUCACAGGAAGGAAAAUGAUUUAACAAGGGUUACAUUCAUGAACGGAAGCCUCACGAUCUUUGUGCAGUCAGAUAGGUUUGGUGGUAUCUCAUUGCCAGCAAGUGAAUCCAACCAAUACAUGAAACUAGAGUCAAAUGGACACUUGAGGUUGUACGACUGGGAUGACAGAUCUAUUUUGUAUGAAGUAAUGCAGAUAGAUGAUUGUGAUUACCCAACAGUUUGUGGGGAGUAUGGCAUAUGCAUCGGGGCCCAAUGCAUUUGUCCAUAUGAGAACACUUUCUUCAAGGCGGUGGACGAACGACGGCCCCAUCUUGGUUGCACACCAUUAACUCCAAUCUCUUGUCAAGAAAAACAACGGCAUCGACUAUUGGCCCUUCCCUCCAUUUCUUACUUUGAUAAGAACUACACGGUAGUGAACGCCAAAAGCAUGGCUCAUUGUAAGAAAGCCUGCUUGAAGAGCUGCUCCUGUAGGGCCAUCAUCUUCAGUUAUUACCACAAUGAUUCCUAUGGAGAAUGUGUGUGGGUGACAAAGGUCUUCUCCUUGCAAUCAAUGAAGCAUGAGGAUGUUGGCUACAACUCUACUGCCUACCUCAAGGUGCAAAUUGAUGAAAACAAAACGAAGGUGAUGUUAGGAGCUACACUUGGAGCUAUUGGUGCUCUUUUAUUACUUGUCACUGGUAUAUGUCUUUGUCUAAAGAGGAGGGGGAAAUAUGAAGAGAAAGAUGAAUUUGAUUUUGAUCAAUUGCCUGGAAUGCUGACAAGGUUUUCUUUCGAAAAGCUGAGCGAAUGCACUGAAGGGUUCAGUAAGAAGCUAGGAGACGGUGGGUUUGGUUCAGUUUUUCAAGGGGAAUUAGGUGAAGAGAAAGUUGCGGUGAAACGUUUGGAAGGUGCCAGACAAGGCAAGAAAGAGUUCUUGGCAGAAGUAGAGACUAUUGGCAGCAUAGAACAUAUCAAUCUUGUCAGGUUGAUUGGGUUCUGCGCAGAGAAAUCUGAGAGGCUUCUAGUGUAUGAAUAUAUGUCAAGAGGGUCGCUUGAUAGGUGGAUCUAUUACCACCAUAACAAUGCCCCUCUUGAUUGGUGCACCCGGUGGAGGAUCAUUCUGGCUAUUGCCAAAGGCCUAUGUUAUCUUCAUGAGGAGUGCAGGCAUAUAAUUGCUCAUUUGGACAUCAAACCACAAAAUAUUCUCUUGGAUGACAAAUUCAAUGCUAAAGUGGCUGAUUUUGGGCUUUGUAAGUUAAUAAAUAGGGAUCAAAGUAAGGUAGUGACUAUGAUGAGAGGAACACCUGGAUAUCUGGCACCUGAAUGGUUAACUUCGCGAAUCACUGAAAAAGUUGACGUCUACAGCUUUGGAGUUGUUCUCAUGGAAAUAGUAAGUGGAAGAAAAAAUAUUGACAGCUCUCAGCCUGAGGAGGAUGUCCAGCUCAUAAAUAUGUUACGAGAAAAGGCCCAAAACAACCAUUUGGUUGAUCUGAUUGACAAGCAUGGUGAGGAUAUGGUCUCACACAAGGAGGAAGUGAUUCAAAUGAUGAAACUCGCAAUAUGGUGCCUGCAACAAGACAGCAUUCGAAGGCCUUCAAUGUCAACCGUGAUCAAAGCAUUGGAAGGUGCAAUUAGCAUAGAAACUUUCGAUGCAAAUUCAGUCAUGCCUGUUCAAGAUAAUCCAUCCACAUAUUCAGUUACAUCCCAGACAUCGAUGCUAUCUGGCCCAAGGUGA